UACGUAGGCAGCAAGCGUUGUUCGGAAUUACUGGGCGUAAAGAGUGUGUAGGCGGUGCUCUAAGUUCGGUGUGAAAUCUCCCGGCUCAACUGGGAGGGUGCGCCGGAAACUGGAGUGCUGGAGCGCGGGAGAGGAAAGCGGAAUUCCUGGUGUAGCGGUGAAAUGCGUAGAUAUCGGAAGGAACACCAGUGGCGAAAGCGGCUUCCUGGUCCGACACCGACGUUCAGGCACGAAAGCGUGGGGAGCAAACAGG
rnacentral:rRNA from 1 species